UGACAAAAUAUGAUUCUUGGGUUGAUUGGUCAUUUAGAAACUAGCCAAAAGUGAGACUUUUAAUGUAGAACAUUUUUCAGAAAUGGGUACAAAGAAAAAUGCAUAUUACUGUAUAUUUCAGAGUGUUUAUGUGAACCUUGUAUUUAAUUGAGAGUCCCAUGUACGUUCUGCAGCCUUUUUGCUGCUUCUAUCAUCUGAAGUUUGUGUAGUACAAAUAAGGCCUUUGGGAUUCUUAAUGACAUUUAUGUUAAAAUGUUCUCUUCUCUUUAAACACCGUUUUCCAAUCCACCUGUCAGGGAGUCCAAAUCGUGUCUGUGUUGAUGAUGCUAUACUUUGUAGCUAGAAAAACAAUUUUAGUGUUGUGGGCUCUGUAUUCAGACUUCCUUUUUACAAGACCGAUGGGCAGUGAUAGAUUAUUUUAUCAUAUUUAAUGCAUGGGAAAUAGUGUGCUGAGGAAGCUAUUAAAAGUAUAACUCAGUGAAUUGGGUCUGAGUUUUAAAUGAGAUAUUUCAAAAUUGGCUUGCCACUGUAAAAGCGACUAAAUAAUAAUAUGAUACUGUUCUUUAUGAUCUUGUCAUGUUUCACUGAUAUGUUUGGGGUCUUCACUAUGUAAAAAAUGUCAAAAUUGUAAUGAGCAAGCAUGUACAAGUAGUCGUAAAUCAAAGGUUUUAAACAGGACUGCAUUUUCAAUUAGGAAAAGCUGUUUGGCAGAUAGCAUCCAAUGCAAAAACAGAAAUAUCGUAACGUUCUGCUUAGUGGGCAAGAUAAGAUAGGAAAGACAUGCUCAAAGAGGCAAAAGAAUCAUUGCUAUCAUUCAUUCUACACUAGUUUGAAGAAGUUUUUGUACAUCAGAGCACUUCCUUCAGCACACUUUUUUGCCUUCAGAUUUCAUUUUUUAUAAAAUGAGAAGACUAAUGAUAAACUGUAGAAAUCAAAAUUUAUUGAGAAAUCUGUUUCUCCUAACAGAUAGUAACCCUGCCAUGAUAUACUACUUCAACAAUGUUAUAAAAUUUAUGUGAUAAUAUACAUUUUAACCUGGGAUUUCUAAAUUGCUUUAACAAAUGCUAAUCCUGAGAGUUGCCCUGCAGGACUCAAAAGGGAAAGGUUUUGGGACGUGGCAGAACCCUGCAGGGACAUGGAAUUAAGGCCAUUGCAAUGUAUCAUCUUUGUAGCAUUGUCAUCACUCCUAAGCUGCCUUCACAGUUUUAGUACACUAAGAUGAGGAAAUCGAAAAUGGGCAGAGAAAGCUCAUACUGUAUAAUUGAAGACAGUGACAGAGAACGUGUCAGUUAUGCCAAAACUCUUUUGAUUUCUGUUCCAGGAUUUCCAACAAGAGGGGAAAGGAAUGACUUGGGAGGGUGGGAAAGACAUUAGGAGUUGUUUUUAUUUUUUACCUUGGAAGCUUUAGCUACCAAUCCAGUACCCUCCUAACUAGAAUGUAUACACAUCAGCAGGACUGACUGACUACUUCAUUAGAGAUAUACUGUACUCAUUGGGGGCCUUGGGGGUACUGCUGUUCUUAUGUGGGAUUUUAAUGUUGUAAUGUAUUGCAUCUUAAUGUAUUGAAUUCAUUUUGUUGUACUAUAUUGGUUGGCAUUUUAUUAAAAUAAAUUGUAUUGUAUCAUAUUUGUAUGUUUUAAGAGAAAAUAAUAUAAAAUACAAUAUUUGUACUAUUAUAUAGUGCAAAAACUACAAAUCUGUGCCUCUGCCUCUUGAAUUAAUUCUUUGGUUGCUUGCAUUUGGGAAGGGAAUGGAGAAAGGAAAGAACCAAUAAAGCUUUCAAAGUUCAAG
rnacentral:lncRNA from 1 species